rnacentral:snoRNA from 1 species
UCCCUUUGGCAAUGGACAAAGAGACACCUUGUUGGUGGUGGUGUUCUUAUUUCAGUCAGGGGCACAGCAGAUGGCAGCUCUUUGUUCAUCCUAGCUUUGCUAUUUUAUGCCUAGAACUCAUAA